rnacentral:sRNA from 1 species
GCAGUUUCACCUUCCAGGCAGCUCUGCACCAUGACGGCCGCAUUGUCUUUGGCUAUAAAGAGAUCCCUAUGUCUGUCCCGGAAAUCAGCUCCUCCCAGCAUCCUGUCAAAACCGGCCUAUCGGAUGCCUUCAUGAUUCUCAAUCCAUCCCCGGAUGUGCCAGGCUUUUCAGCAGAGUCUGCAAAGCAUCUUUGGUGAAAAGAAAAGUCAUGUGCAAUUAGCAGCAUCUGUUUGCAGAGGCACUCAAAACACACAGGACAGUGUAUCCG